rnacentral:rRNA from 1 species
UACAGAGGGGGCAAGCGUUGUUCGGAAUUACUGGGCGUAAAGGGCGCGUAGGCGGCCUGCUAAGUCGAACGUGAAAUCCCCGGGCUCAACCCGGGAACUGCGUCCGAUACUGGCAGGCUUGAAUCCGGGAGAGGGAUGUGGAAUUCCAGGUGUAGCGGUGAAAUGCGUAGAUAUCUGGAGGAACACCGGUGGCGAAGGCGGCAUCCUGGACCGGCAUUGACGCUGAGGCGCGAAAGCCAGGGGAGCAAAGCAGG